CUCUGUGUAAUGCACUUUCAUUUUUUAGCAGUAGAAAUAUAUAUAAAAAAAGUGUUAAAAUAAUUACCUACCUAUAAUAAAUAUUUUUUUAUGUAUCUUUAAUGAAGACACUAAAUCUUCUCAUUUUCCUGUAACUUUUUUCAUAAGGUAAUAAAUAAUAAAAAGGUAAAAUAAUCCAAUAUGAAACGCUAAAAGGAAACUCUUAACCGUCUUAGUGAUAUUUAAAAUAUGUUUUUAUUUCUCAUUGUUUACUCUAAAGUUGUUAGGAAAUAAAAAACAGUUCAAUCAAAUUUAAAAAAUAAUUUCUAAGGACAGUUUGUGACUUAUGCGCUGGACAGUUACUUUAGUAUCAUGUAUGACUGCUAAACAGUCCAUUUUUUUUAAUUUUAGGAAUUAAAAUUUGGCUUUGUAGGACCGCUGUAAGACCUCUCUCUACGUAUAAGGCUAAGCACUCACUGUCAGGAAGAAACACAGCUAGAUUUCCUUAGAAAUAAGGCCUGUUCCAAAUAAUUCAGGUCAGUAAUGGAGGAAAGUGCGUAGGAGAGAAGGUCUGAUCAAUGAUGGGAAGCCUAUGAGGACACAAGCCUAGUGAAACCCCAUAGAGGACCAUGCAACUAGAUGAUGAAAGAGAAACUUUUCUUGGAAGCAAUUGCUGGGGUAUACCAACUUCUGCAAGUGAGAACAUGGACUGGGCCCAUGAAGUAGAAUUAUGAAGUCCUUCAUGUGAAAUCACCACCAGCAGGACGACUAGGUAGAGCCAGGCCUUACUAAGCAGCAAGAGACAUGUUUGGUCUGUGGAACAAGAGAAUAAGUGUUCUUGAUCAUCUAAAUUCAGCAUGUUUUGAAAAGAUAGAUCUGUACAUCUCAAUUAUUAACCUAUCUCUAAAUUUAACCUCAGAAUUUACACAGUAUGAUUAUUUUCAUCAAUUGUGUUGCCACUCUGUCCUGAGAGUUAUGCUCUGGUGUUUCUUUGUCCAAAUCCUCUUGUUCACCCUGCCAGAUAAGCCAUGGUGCCUCACUUUGUCACCAGAUUGAAGUGCACCGCAAGAAAGCAGCCGUGCAUCUCACAACAGAGUUGGGCAUCUUCCCGUAUUGGGUGAAAUGACUUCAAAGGAGUAGUCAAUAUUUGAGGAAACAUCUCAAUAAAUGCCAGGUCUCAGCAAAAGCUCAAAGCAAUGUGUAAGUCCCACAAAGGUCAAUCAGAGGAUUCAUUUUUUUAGGCAUCCCUGUUUGCAAGAUUGGAGCCAUAGUUUAUGAUUCUCUAAAGAAACUUUUAGACGUACAAGGAACAUUAAGUCUUUAGGAAAGUCAGUGAAAAGGGCAGUGUCAUCUGAAUGUCCUGUUUGCAGCAUAUUGUCUUUCAGACCAAUCAAUGUCUCAGUGUUGAGCAGAGCUGUCCAGAAGCAGUAGGAGGUAACAACCGAACGGACAUAACACAAGCUUGGCUUUCAGUCAGAAUGAUGUUUUGUCAUAAAUGGUGAGAAUGCCAUUUUUACAAUUUAUGAAUCUGAUCGUUACAUUUUUGCUUCUCUAACCAACAUUAUGUAAUACAGAGAAUGUUUAUGUAUCCCAGCUAAUACAGAGGAAACAAAGCGUGUAUUUCUAGUGUGCCAAAAAGGGAUAGGCAAUUCCAUAGCUGCAGAUCCAAUUCUUUCUGAAUGUCAGUCUCUAUUCUAUCUCAAAUAUUUUUUAAUAUUUUACAGGAGCACUGAUACUAAUUUCCUCUCAAUUUAAAGGGUCCCGACUGUAUUCUUUCUUCCUUCAUAAAAAGUUUCAUGAACACAGUGAUGUCUCCAAGCAAAGGCAUGCAGUACACAAAAUCAAAAUUAAACAGGAUGACAUAUUUUAGGUCAUCUGCUGUAGUCAUCUGAUUGCUAGAGCACACUGGCUCUUUACUGUAGUGGUCCUCAGAACGGAUCUGAACAUCGCCAGUAGAGGCAACAUCACUUGUUCUGUUUGGGGAGCAACCUAGCGUGGGCCUCCACAUGGAAAGCUCCCGCACAGGGAUGUAACUGAGAUGGGAGUCUUUAGAUGACUAAAGGACAACAGUGGCAGCAGGACCAAAACUAAAGCCCAUUGUUGAGAAUGAGAUACAAUGUUUUUAAAAUAAAUUGGCACUUGCCACUGGGGAGUGUCACAAUCACUACUCUAUGUGCUCCUGUAGUGCAGGAGCUUUAAAGAGGGUUGAAGAAAAUACAUCAGUGGAAGCCUUUACUCUGAAAAGGCAGCAUCUUUGAGGAACUGCUUAAAUACGGAGUGGAAAACAGCUUUUCUUCUACUGAUUUUGUCCAGGAUCCAGUCCCUGAAGAAAUUCAACCAGUGCAUAACACAUGAAAAGGAGAGCGAGUGAGUGGGUGAAGUCAGGGUUAAAAUUGACAGCAUCCAACUGAUAUAAACCGAAGCUCUCAAAGAAUUUCUUGCAUCUGGAAAUCUCUCUCGUUGCACAGCUGAUGUAUUAAAUACAAAAGAAGAUGUAUGCAAAUGAAGGCAUUCGUAGUAAAAGAACUCCUGGAGACCUUGCUGCGGUGGGAGGCUUUGUCAUGUUAUGGUCUACAGUAAGAUGUUGCCUUCUUCAAGGAGAUUUCAGUCUGUGAAAAACCCAGCUACCACAAGUAUGUGGAAUGCAAGACGAGAGUCAGAAGCAACAAGGAGAAAAGCAGAAGACAGAAAAGCACACACCAAACUGUUACAGCUGACACAAUCAGAACAUGCGGCGCACACCCUGAAUUACACUUAACAGUCCAGAGCGAGAAGAAGAUGGGCCUGACACCACUUAUUAAUUCAUUAAAUACUGAAGGGGUGACUUCAGCUUCCAUGCUACAUUUUACACGCCUUCUAGCAAGCAGCUAUACCUAGGAGCAAAUAUGAAACACUUUCUUGUUUUCUACAGUUUGGUUUUUUUUAAUUAAAUUUUCUUGUGUAUCAAGUGCCUACAGACAUACAAUUCCAUUUUAUGCCAAGGGAUGUGAUAUAAUUCCUGUCCCUUUUUGGUUGCAAACAUCACCUUCAUACCAUACCUUCUAAUUAAAACAGUAAAGUGUUGGAUGAAGAUGAUUCAAAUUUGGCUAUGUAAAGGAUGAUCUCAUUCUUGCUGUUAUUGAUACUUGUGUCAGAGCUAUUUUAGUCACUAAGGAUUUGCUAGCAAAUUGUAUUGAAAGCCAUCAAACUUCUUCCUUGCUAGUAUUCACAGAAAUCUAUCCCUUUUAUCCCUUAUAUCAGCGCUGCCAAUUCUUAUUGGCUCUGUAAAAAUUAUUCAUGGAUCACAGAUUUCCUAGUGACUGCAGUUUCUGUCGUGAAGCAUUAAUGGCCAACACAACCUCUGGACUCUGUAGUAUGUCCGUCUACUUAUGAUCUUUAGCCUGCCCUAACCUUCGGCUCACUGCCACCUGGGUAAGCAUCCCCCUUCAAACAAGAGAAUAUGAGAAGGAGCUUAGGUGUGAGUAUCUUCAGUUUCUCUCCAAUGGGCCCACAGAAGCAGAGGCACUUGGAGCUUUGAGUGGAAUAGUUGAUCUUUUUUUCUCAUUUGUUCACCCUUUCCAAUCAACAGCAACAAGAGCCAUAGACAUUCUGCAUUCUGCCUUUAUGGGACUUCUUCUGUUGUUCCUCCUUUACCAGAUUUCUUCUGUUCUUUAGGGGUAUGUGAUUGUCAUUGUGGGGUACCUACAUACUACAGCUCAUCUCCCACAUCACCAGUACCAGUGUCAGAGACAGCUCAAAAGCUUCCAGCAAAGAUCCUGGUCCUUAUUCCCACUAGUUCAAUAGCUUGCUGACUUUCUGCUGUGUGGGGAGUCAUGUAAAUGCGUAAGCUUGUAACUCAUCAAAUGUGACUAAUAGUUUUAUGGUGCUUAAUAUUUGAGAUAAAUGUCAACUGAUGUGAACUGAAACGUAAGGAAGUAAUCAGGUAGCAGGUUUUAAGCAGACAGAAAACAAUUGCUUUAACACAGUGCUUGAUACUGUUGUGGAACUCAUAGCCAUCAGCUGUUGUGGCUGCAGAAAUGGAUAAAUGGGCUUUAAAAAGAUUGGAAAGAUUUCUGGAGGAUGAUUCCAUCCCUGGCUAUUAAAUAUGAUGAUCCAAAUGCAAUCUCUGCCACAGUGUUGUAGGAGAAGAAACACUCUUCAGAGAGAGACAUUCCCUGAGCAUUGACCUUGGCCCCCGUUAAUCAGAAGAUCUUGAGGGUAUGGCAUGUUCUUAUAUUUUCCCUAAAAAUUCUGCAUUUGGCUAAUAUGUUUUGUAUAGUGAUUAAUCUUCAUCACACAGGGGCUCAUCUAUAAGGACUUGUAUAGUUCUGGUGAGUUUACUACUUGCAACAAAUAGAAUAUUGCUGGACUCUGUGCAAUGAAAUAUAGAUAUAAUUCUAAUAAUCUGUGGUUUACUUAGUUUACAGUAGUGCCUAUUCUUCUCUGCCAUGGCCAACCAAUUGAAAAUGGAAACUCAUAAACAAGGGAAAUUUGUCUACAUUGUGCUUGCAAUGCCUCUGAAUCCACAGAAGGCAGGCUACAGAGAGAGAGAGAAAACACCAGUGUGCCGCUGCACCUCCUAGCAUAUAACCCACAACAGAUUUGGCUAUUCUUGUAGUCAUGAAACAAUCACUGAUUUAAAAAACCCUACUACUUUAUCCAAUGAUUGCAUAUCCUACCAUCCACACUGCAGCUGAGGUGAGAAUCGUGCAGUCACACAGUUUGGAAAGAGUCUCAAACCACAGCUCCUCUGUGCUGAAUUCACUCCUGUGCUGAGACUGAAUUCACUCCUGCUCAGCUGAGCAAGCUCAGAGCUCUGCUGAAACACAGAGGUUAAAUUCGCUGCUCCAAACAGUUCAGCCCAAGAGACUACCCUGAAGCUUUUUGCAGGGAAAGGAUUUAAUUAGGAUCUUAGUUUCAUAGUACAUUGCAAUAUUCAGUAUAACAGACGACCACCAAAAUGUAUUCUUUUUGUGAUUCAAGGUACAGGUUUGCUUAGACAACUUUUAAGAUGAUCCCUGACUACAGAAGGGGUAGAGGCACCAGAGACGCAGGAGAGACUUUGCUGAGCAGGUUUGAAUGUCAUAAAUGCACAGUUUUGGCUUAGUAAUUGUAUCACAGUUGACAGACGCUGCAGCAGUCACGUGUCUAGGACAUGACCUCAUAUUUCGGCUUUCUCCUCUCCUCCCCCAGUGAGGAGAGCAGUGCUGGCACUUAAAUAAGCAGAAGACAUUUACAGAAGGCGAGUUGGUAAGAUACUUAAAGGAGAAGCCUGAAUUUGGACACAGAGCUAUACUUUGUAUGGGCUAUUAAGCAGCUGCUCAACAGUGAUGGGGAAGCAAAAUUCUGUUUUUCCACUUGGGAAGUGCACUACCAUUAUUAUUAGGGUAAAAAUAUUGAAUCUCAAGUCACAUGGGCUUAGCUCCCUUCCCAAGGGAAAAUCUACAGGAGGGGUGGUAGAGGAAAGAAAUGCCUCUGUGAUCCAUUCACAGGAUUACUCUGCAGACAACAGGACUGCUGCAAGGUCAGAUGUCCUCCAGAGAUCCGUGGGAGGGUGCUGCAGAGGUCAUCUCUGCCCUGUAACUGCCCCAGAAGCCACUCCAGAUGCUCUGGCAGCAUGGUUUCACAGAAGGAUGGAACAGCAUGGAAUAGUAUUUAAUUUUGUGGAAAUUUUCCUGGGGCACUGAGUGUCCUUCUAAGUGUGUCUACUUCUUUUUGCAUAGAUCUUGGAUCAUGCAAGACCCGGGAAGAUUCUGAGAGGAAGACAUGGGAUAAUGCUCUGGAUAGCCAAGCACCACUUCAGCAUGAAGGGGAACCCCAGCUUGGAAAUUUCCAAAGGUGUAAUUGGCACUGGGGGGAUAAUUUUCAAUCACAGCACUGUAACACAGGGACCAAAAUCCCAGCAUUGGCACUGACCUCCAUGGCAAGUUAUGCCAUGCUUGAAACGACAACAGCAAUUACAUGCUGAGUUAUCCCAAUGGAAAGUGUUCUAAACGUGCAGACAUUUUUAGUGUUUUCUCACUACUUCAUCUACAAUUUGCAGCUAUUCAUAGAUUACAGACCAUAAACUUUUCAAUUCAGCUUCAGUGUUGUUCAAAGGAUAAAAAUUAAGAAUUUUCUGUACAAUUACUCAUCUUGAAACCUUAUUUUCUUUUGCUUGAUGUUGCUUAUGUUCUCUUUGGAUUGAAACCUGGCUCAGUUGUUUUAACCUGUCAGUUGCAGUGGCAAUGCUUUGGCCAGGUAAGAUCCCAGUUAGCCUUGUUAAGGUUCACAAUGUAUCAGAACAGGAUUUGGAUUUCUCUGCUUUUGAUACAUGGGGUUUCAGUCACAUUUGGGUUGCAGCUCCGGGAAAGUCUUUGCGUAAAAAACUUUGACCAGGUACAGCAACCAUUGUUUUGAUUAUCCCAGCUGAAGCGUGAGCAUUCCUGCAAGAGCCAGCAGCUCGGAGUGCUGCUGCUUGUGCCCUGCUUUGUGGCUCACCUGUUACGUGACUUUGCUGAAGAUCUUCUUGUGAUUUCUUAAAUGAAAAAAAAACCAGCACUAAACUUGGGGGAAAGAAGAUUUGUGUGUGUGUGAAUUAUUGCUUGACCAUAGGCAAGAGUCUUCUAGUCCUUUGGUGGAUGCUGGGGUGGUUGAGCCUCCAUGGCACCUGAAACCACCUCCAGGGGGUCAGGCUCUGCAGAGUUGCAGGAGAUCACCAGAGUAUUUUGGUGGGUUGUGUGUUUUGGUUUUUUUUUGCUUGGUCCUUUUCCCCCUCCUAAGCUUCCAGAGCAGAAAACCAGCUCAUUUCUUGCCAUUUUCUGUGUUGAGUACAUGACUGACAGGUGCUGCUGGAGAGGCACCGUGCGCAAGGGUGGGUGAGAGGCUGCGUCUGGCGUUGAGUUUUUCCUAGAGACCUGGAAAACAGCUGCAGUCACUAACGUGUGCCCCGAGCCCAGGGAGCUGCCCCUGCCCUGGGGCUCUGCCUGUCUUAGCUCAGCUCUGCCAAAAGCCCAGGCUUUCACAUCCGAGGCUCUGGGGUACUUUCAGCCAACACUUUCCGUCAGGAGGCCUUUCAGAGGCAAGGUGGGAAGCCUGCCCAUAGGCAAAUGAGCACGCUCAGCAAUAUCGCAGGGGUUAGCCCAGCUCUCACUGCCUGCCAUGCAUCUCUGCUGUGGUAGCGAUGCUCGGAGCUGCGUGCCCGCCACGGUGCUGCCUUAUGAUCCCUGAGCGCUGGUACCAGGAGACAGGCGGCAGGGACAUGGCUGCCAGCACCCAGAGAGGGGGGUGGCUGAUGGAGCCAUUGCUAUUCUUGUUAUGGAGCCAAAUAAAAGCAUUCCAAAGUGUUGUAGCGCUGCCUGCUUCUCGGUGCAGCAAGCAAGGGGCCAGCUGCUUCAGCAGCGAUGCCUCCUUGUGCUGGAGAGAUGCCACCUUGGUGAGGGGAUUUUGGGGUGUUUCCACAAGCCCCAGCUCCUUCGCAGUGUAUCAGAAGGAACCUUCACAGUGGAGUCCACAUCAACAGCAAAAGACUGCUUCUCACAUGGCAACACACCAGUUGCUGAACAGGUAAAAUACCAUGGAGAUAGACCUGCAUUAUUUCAGUUCAGGGUGAGCCUACACUUAACUCCUUCUAAAUGCACACAGCUGAAAAUAUAGAUCCCAACAUUUCACCAGGAUUUAAAAUCCACAGGUGCCUUUUUUUUACCCAGAGCCUGGGCUACCAUGAUAUGUUUUCUGGUGAAUUGUAAGUGAGUAUUUGGAAAAAAUAAUCUGCUAACCAGUGUCAUUAUUCCCGAAAUGAUAGUGGCGGUUGGUGAUGUGACCCUGAGGCUGGUGGAGAAAGCUGAUUUAUCCCGUUUUGAACGAGCCUUGACCUCUGCUGGGCUAGACAGCAAGCCCAGAGCUGCUCAGGUAACACUGGAGAGAAAGCUCCUGCACCUUCUGACAGCUGACAGAGCCCUUGGAGCUGGAAUUGUACUGAGACUGACCUGAAGUAGUGCGGAGAGCAAAGUACAAUCAGUCACGGUUUCAGAUAUUGACCUGUUUGUCACAGCAUCAUCCCUUGGGGAGUCUCACUUUAUCCUCCUCCUUGCUAAAGCUUUCUGAAAGGUGUUAUUUAGGUCUUUUUGCAAUCUGCUGUCCUGUAUCAUUGAAUGAAAAGUUUUCAGAGACAGUCUGCAUUCACAGUGUGAUGAACAUUGAUCUUUUGAUCAACCUAGAACAUCUAGGUUUCUACAGGUUUAUGCCAUACAUUUAGGGGCCUGUAAGCAUUUGAAAAUAUAAAAUGUAAACAUCCAGCUCCUGGUGUUUAAUUCAUUUUUUAAAGUUUUCUUAGUAGUGGUAAACUGAGUACUUAUCCAAUUAUUGUUAUUUAGUAAAAUGCUGUUAGGAUGAAAGCAUCAAACAAUCUGUCACAUACUCUGUUGUAUUCACUUGACACUUCUAACUGCUUAAAAGUAAUUAAAAAUCACUUUUAUGAGGUAAGGAAGUACAAGGUCUUAGCUGCACUUAAGCCAUGAUCACUCAGGAGUGAAGAAAGGUUAUUUUUACAAGUUUCCAGUAAGUCAACACAGCUUGAGCGUAGGUCAUCCACGUUUUUUUAACACUUGCACACCAGAACUCCCUAACCAGUCUAAGUGAGAAACUAAAUUUAUUGAUGAAGGGCCUCAGGAUAUGCCCCUUUACAAAUGUUGUGUGUGUCACUGCAACCAAAAUUUUAUUCUGGGAGUAGAUUAAAUGACAGUAUCAUUGACAAUUUGUCUGAGGCUUCACAAUUUAAUCUUUUGACUUGAAUCAGGAGUUAAAUUAAGUUUCUAAAGUCUGCUUUUCUGCUCACAAUCUGCCUAAUCAAAGCAGGAGAUCCUCCUGAACAUUUCAAUGCCCAAGCUGCUGGUAGGAGUCCCUGAUAGAUUUCUCUUUUAAAUUUAGCACAGCCCAGAAUAGUAACUCUUACAUAACAUAUACCCAGCAAAUAUGGGAUUUGCUAUAAUUUCAGUGAGAGACUGCAGAUUUCCUGCCUUACAGAAUAACUAAAGCAGACAGCAUUAAAGUCAUCCCUCUUAUAAAGGGCUUGAACAAAUAAGCUUAUUCCUACAAAUCAAGGGAUAAUGUUUCUCUUAGGUAUCAGAAUAUAGUUGACAACAAAAUGGGCUGUGACAAAUCCUAGCUCUUCUUGUGUCUCUGAGUGACAUUGUGGCCCCUGUUUACCUCAAAACAUACAGAUGUGCUGCACUCGCUGUUCCUGAGGAUAAAGAGAGACAGCAAGGCAAAAAUUUGCACUCCAUUGUGGACAGGCCAUUGGGGCUUCUUGGGAAGGGGAGUUCUUAAAUAAAUACGUUCUUUGCUUAUUCACUGCUAUCUAUCUAUCUAUCUAUCUAUCUAUCUA